rnacentral:rRNA from 1 species
AUUGAACGCUGGCGGCAGGCCUAACACAUGCAAGUCGAACGAGUGGCGGACGGGUGAGUAAUGUCUGGGAAACUGCCCGAUGGAGGGGGAUAACUACUGGAAACAGUAGCUAAUACCGCAUACCAUCGGAUGUGCCCAGAUGGGAUUAGCUAGUAGGUGGGGUAACGGCGCACCUAGGCGACGAUCCCUAGCUGGUCUGAGAGGCUGACGCGCUACACUGGAACUCAGACACGUACUGGACGCCUACGGGAGGCAGCAGUGGGGAAUAUUGCGCAAUGGGCGCAAGCCUGAUGCAGGCAUCCCGCGUGUAUGAAGAAGGCGUUCGUGUUGUAAAGUACUUACAGUGCGGAGGCGUUACUCGCAGAAGAAGCACCGGCUGACUCCGUGCCAGGUGCCGCGGUAAUAC